AAUGGGACGAAAGUCUGAUGCAGCAACGCCGCGUGGAGGAUGACACAUUUCGGUGCGUAAACUCCUUUUAUAUGAGAAGAUAAUGACGGUAUUAUAUGAAUAAGCACCGGCUAACUCCGUGCCAGCAGCCGCGGUAAU
rnacentral:rRNA from 1 species